UUAGCUAGAUGGUGARRUAAURGUUCACCAAGGMGAYGAUCCAUAGCUGGUCUGAGAGGAUGAUCAGCCACACUGGGACUGAGACACGGCCCAGACUCCUACGGGAGGCAGCAGUGGGGAAUAUUGGACAAUGGGCGCAAGCCUGAUCCARCCAUGCCGCGUGUGUGAUGAAGGCCUUAGGGUUGUAAAGCACUUUCACCGAUGAAGAUAAUGACGUAGUCGAGAGGRAUGCUU
rnacentral:rRNA from 1 species